GACGAACGCUGGCGGCGUGCUUAACACAUGCAAGUCGAGCGGUAAGGCCCUUUCGGGGGUACACGAGCGGCGAACGGGUGAGUAACACGUGGGUGACCUGCCCUCAGCUCUGGGAUAAGCCUGGGAAACCGGGUCUAAUACUGGAUAUGACUCCAUGACGCAUGUUGUGGGGUGGAAAGCCUUGUGCGGCUGAGGAUGGGCCCGCGGCCUAUCAGCUUUGUUGGUGGGGGUGA
rnacentral:rRNA from 1 species